AUGUCCGAUACCACUAGUUCUUCAUCCUCAAUCUCUGUUGUCAGGGUGGUAGGGAGGGCCAUUGAGGUCAUUGGAGCUGUUGAGGUGGAGGGGAUUGCGUCCUCUGAGAUACUGGCUAGGAGGGUUGUCCCGUCAUCCAGCUCGCAGUUUGAUGAAGUCGAUGCAGAAAGAGCAGGUGAGGGACAUCAAAAAUCACAGGAACCCUCUGAACCCCCACCAGGAUACAGUGGGACUCAUCACAGGCCCGGUUCCAGAACAGAAUGCCUUGGGGUGCAUCUGAGAUUACAGGGGGUGCACCAGUACUAUACAAAAACCAGCUACCCAGCUUCAGUUCAGACUUCGCUUUUUUACACAUAGGCCUUUCCUACCAUAGACAAGCACUUCUGCGUAGUUCUACUGACAUGUUGGGACAACAAACAAUUACUGUGCUUAAAAGAUGGUAUCGUAUCAUGUCUUGUGAUGUGGAGAACAUUUCAGCUGCAACAUUAGCUUAUUGAUAUCUUAGAUAGCUUUGAAUAUGAGAUAGGUUUUUGAUAAGUGUGAUGUGUGAGGUGUAAAAAAGAACAGAAUUCUACACUAAAAAGAAAACAUGUGACUGCAAUUCAAAAAUAACGUUUAUUUUUUUAUAAAUUGUGGCAGGAUAUUUGACAUAACAAAUAAUUGUACAUUGCCACUUAAAAAUAAAACAGAUUUUAGCUGAACAAGGAAAGAACACUUCAGACUUUGAACUUUGAACAAAAACUAAUCAGUAUAAUACUCUUAAAGUUAACACGAUUGUAAAUAAAUGCAAUAAAAAGAAAUAUGGGUUCUUAUGAACAUAAUACAUUUAAUACAUGUAUUGGAUAUCCAACUGUUGCUGCCGAAGAAGUUCAACGUCACUACCGUGCGCACCAUAGAUAUGGGUGCGUGCAUUUUGCACACGACGCCGGCAUGACACACGAUGCCGGCCGGCGGCCAAUCACAGCAGCGCUGAUAUAGAGCGACAACAUUGCAACCUCGAGUGUGAUAUUGCUUUAUACAACAUCGGACAUACUAGUAAAAUGUACUGUUAAUAAUAAUAAUUGACAAUAGAUUGUGAUUUGUUAGUUUAUUUAAUCAUAUAAACGAAUGAAAUUGCUUCCGGCAGCAAAAAUAGAUCCCCACUGAGCGGAGUGUUGCCAAGCAACAUAUAAACAAAACACCAUACAUAAAUGCGGAGUGAUUUUGUCAGUUUGGUGAACAGUCAGAGAGAUGUUGGAUGCUCAUAUCUCAACGCUAUUUAAUGGAAAUUGUCACAAGUUUCAUUACAAUUUGUUUUGUGAGCAAGUAUUUCAUUAUUUUUAUCAUAUUUAUAAAAAAAAAAUAUUUUUUUAUUAUUUUUAUUUUUUCAAUUGAGGGUGCAACAAGGGGGUAACCUUUUUUGGGGGUGCAAUGCAUGCUUAUGCACCCCCGUAGAACCGGGCCUGACUCCUCACCUCCCAGAGGGUCCAGGCUAGCCCCAAGGUUCCGCACAGCCUUCACAUUAGGGCUUCCCUGGUCACAUAUUACUGCCUGCACCUUUGAAAUUGGUUAAUACAUUGUUGUCAAUACAAGGUUGGAGUUAAUGUUAAUUUGUUCAUUGUUAAUGCUGCUAUUUAAAAAAUAAAUAAUAAUAAAACUCUUCGCACUACAUACUGUCAGCCCUAUAUGAUGUAGGUGGCGAAUGGCAUCCUUAAUGACGGUAGCAAUAUCAUCUGCUGGCAUUGAAGAUGAGGAAAAUAAGUAACCCACCGUCUGUUGGAAGACAUGCUUUAGGUAAAUGUGUUUGAAUAUACACGGCAAUAUCAUAACAAAUGUUUUUCUAAGGUAUGGCUUGCCUGCUUCCAUUUCCCCAUAAUGCCCCUAGCCAUGACGACCAUCGCUUGUUUUGCUGCAGCCCCAGAUGCAGAUACACCAUAAAUGGCAUCGUUCUUGCGAUCAUAAUCAAAUUGUUUUUUGAUUGACAUCUCGUCCAGGACGAGCAUACACAUCCUCUCCACAGGGGUCAUGGUGGCGGCGAUGACUCCCAUUUGGGAGAUGAUUCCCUGUAGGAAGCCAGGCUGUCAGGAAAUAAAAGGUUAAUAAUCAGAUUUUGUUCAAUCUUAAAAUUGUGAAACUGGUCGAAGUUGAGUAGUCUUAUUUAAUAAAUUCGUAUUUACAGAGAAAUAUCCCACACGUGCGCUAACGUAACGCCGAAGUGUCCUUCCAGAAGGAAGCGAGAAUAUGGCCUUCAUUUGACGGUAGGCCUUUGGGCUGCUGUGUAACAGCUGCAGCCCUAGAUCCUUCAUGUGCCUGUUGAACCUUCUCCCUCUGUCCUUUUUCCCUGCCUCUGACAGUUGUGCCCUAAUGAAGUUCCGGCAGCCCUCAGGACACCUCUGGAGCAUCUCCUCCAUAAUUUCAUGGGGACUACGAAAGAACAAGGUGGUGUUAAAAUGCAAUAUGCAUUCCCUUAAAUCAAGUGUUGAUAAUUCUAAAGGCAUAUUUUGUUUUU
ensembl:lncRNA